rnacentral:lncRNA from 1 species
AACCCCAUGUCGUUUGUUUCCUUGGUCCUCGUAACCCCAUUCGUUUGUUUCCUUUAUCCAUUUCUUUACGAGUCUUUAUGGGUAUUAAAAAAAUGAUCGGCAACUACUAGUUCAUGGUGUAUUCGAUCGAUCUCAAUCCAAGAACAAAAAGAAAAAAAAGAAAAAGAAACCGAACCCUCUCUUGAAAGGGUGAGUGUGCGUCACAAGCAACAAGGAAGAAAAAAAAAACGAUCGUGUGUUUAGGGAAGAAGGAGGCUGCGAAUUUUGCCAAGGAUUGGUAAAUAAAAACAUCUUUUAAUCUUUUUGUGUGUUUGCAUGUCAAAUUCGGUAUCAAUAGGUGAUUGUUGUUGAUUCUCUUCUUAAUUGGUGAUUACAAUCUCAUCUCCUUAUUCCUAGAAACUUUGAAGGUUCAUAUGGUUCAAUUUCACUUUUAUUGGGUGUUUAUGAUGACUCAAUUGCUGUCAAAAUUGCUUAUGAACACUUUCAUUAAGUUUAUUGCUCAAGUUUAUGUUUUGAUCAAAGUUUUGGAGUCACAAUUCUUCUUGUUGAUUUCUAAACCUUAUGUUAAAUUCCACCGUGAAUCAAAUGGAUAUGUUUAUGUGAUUAAAUCAUGCUAUUUCUGUUAAGAAGUUAAUUUUUACCCUUAUAGGUGUUCUUAGUGAUGGCUUAAUGCGUUAAGUGGUCAAAAAGCCUUUGAAAUCCAAAGCUAGGAAAUUCAGCAAUAAUUACCAAUCUGUCCCUAUAUUGGAAAAAUUGUAAAAAAAAUCACCAGGAGUCGAAUUGAUGAUCUGUAAACUCUCAAAGUUUCCAUUUGAGUCUAGUUUAUCCUUGAAAUUUUCCAGAACCCGUUGUUGCUUGUAACUUAGGUGAAAAUCGCCUUUUCCACUAGUUGGUCAGAAUUUAGCUGCAUUGAUAGGCAGUUUUGUAAAAAUCAUAUAAAAUUGUAGAAAAAUCGUUUGGACCUUCAAAAGUACAUUCUGAAAAGAUAAAAGUCUAAGCUUCUGGAAUAUGAAAUAAAAACGGAAUUUUAAUUGUUAAUUGAUUUAUGUGUUUGGCUUAUAAAUUUGUCAUCUUUGGCAUUAUGGAACUCCAAUAACCUUGCUAUUUGAAAUGUAAUAGGGGCAAGGGUGAUAGUUUAACCAAUACAAUAUUUUAAGUGUGAGUUGGUCACCUUUUUGGCAAAGGUGAGUGUCACACCCCCAAACCUGAACGACGGAAACGUUCGGGGGCGGAGGACGUCAUGUACAAUAUCAUAACAAUGGAAUAGUAAAGAAAGUACACACCACCAUAAUAUAAAUAUAUUUGAAAAGUUUACAUGAUUGUAUGUGUUACAUGUUUGAAUAUCAAAUACUAUAUGAUGAUCCAAAAUAUGUUACUAACGCCAGCGCGUUAGUCUUUAAAAGUAGUUGCUACCUGGUUUAGCGUUUUCCUGAGAAUACAAGUUAUUUCAAAGAAAAAGUGUCAACAAUAAAGUUGUUGAGUUCAUAAGUAGUGUUUUGAGAAAAUUUAUGUCAUUCGAAAGUUCGUGUAUGUUUUCCAGAAAAUCCGAUAUUUUCUUAUGAGUGUAUGAAAUGAGUAUGAAUGAUUGUUGUAUAAAUUGUAAGUAUUGGAACUAGGAAAAUCCUAUAUUUUCCUAAAAGUGAAAUGCCAUCUCAAAUGACCAAGACUGUAACCUGUAAGAAACUAUGACAUGCUCAAAAGAUGAUGUAUAGUCUUAUUGUAAAACAAAACUACAAAAAGAUUGUGUUUGUAUGUGAAAAGAACUGUAUCUGUUACUUUUCUCGUGAAAACGUAAUACCAUAAUAAUUGUCUAUACAAUGAGUUUUUAUAACCGUACUAUCAUAAUUUGCCUGUAGCGACGUUCUUCAGGCGUCGAAACGAGAUGACACUUGUCACCCCGAGGAUUGUAGCUAGCAGCCAGGGCGCGAGAUCAUUAGUCCCGUAUAGAUCUAUACACACUUGUCACGUUCUCCGGGCGGGAGAUUCUGGUUAUAAAUAGGACUUUUAGUGGUACCUUAAAAGGUAUAUUGAAGAUGAAUGACUCACGGAUCCUCAAUUAAGUCACGUAUUAGAAUGAAUAUGUUUGUCUCUAAAAUAAUUACCCUUUUCUACAGUUUUGACAAGGCGUAAUAAUGAUUUGUAUGUUCUUGCAUGUUUACGAAUGUUAUAGUAAAAAUGGUUACCCUUG